UACAGAGGUCUCAAGCGUUUGUUCGGAUUCAUUGGGCGUAAAGGGCGCGUAGGCUGCGGGGCAAGUCGGGUGUGAAAUCUCAGAGCUCAACUCUGAAACUGCACUCGAUACUGCUUUGCUUGAGGACUGGAGAGGAGAUUGGAAUUCACGGUGUAGCAGUGAAAUGCGUAGAUAUCGUGAGGAAGACCAGUGGCGAAGGCGGAUCUCUGGACAGUUCCUGACGCUGAGGCGCGAAGGCCAGGGGAGCAAACGGG
rnacentral:rRNA from 1 species